AGCAGCCGCGGUAAUUCCAGCUCCAAUAGCGUAUAUUAAAGUUGUUGCAGUCAAAAAGCUCGUAGUUGAAUUUCGGGAUCAAUUUGUUGGUCGUGCCUCGGUACGUACUGGCAUUAUUGGUUUCUACCUUCUGAAGAACCUUGAUGUCAUUAAUUUGGUGUCUUGGGAAUCAGGACUGUUACUUUGAAAAAAUUAGAGUGUUUAAAGCAGGCAUACGCUUGAAUACAUUAGCAUGGAAUAAUGAAAUAGGACGUUUGAUUCUAUUUUGUUGGUUUCUAGGAUCGACGUAAUGAUUAAUAGGGAUAGUUGGGGGCAUUAGUAUUCAAUUGUCAGAGGUGAAAUUCUUGGAUUUAUUGAAGACUAACUACUGCGAAAGCAUUUGUCCAAGGAUGUUUUCAUUAAUCAAGAACGAAAGUUAGGGGAUCGAAGACGAUCAGAUACCGUCGUAGU
rnacentral:rRNA from 1 species